AUGAAAAGGAAGAGAACUUCCUGGUUUGUCCCAAUGUGCUUGAAUGAUAGUUUACAUGAAUGGUUUUUCUGUAGUCUUGAAUGCUCUGUUUUACAUGUUUGGGCAUGGAGAUCAGUAAAUCAGCCUACACAUUCUGAUAUUUUAGUGUUUACUAUUAGUAAGGAAUUUUUGAAAUCAAAUUCUUCAGUGAAGCAUAGAGCGUAG